GACGAACGCUGGCGGCGUGCUUAACACAUGCAAGUCGAACGGAAAGGCCCUGCUUUUGUGGGGUGCUCGAGUGGCGAACGGGUGAGUAACACGUGAGUAACCUGCCCUUGACUUUGGGAUAACUUCAGGAAACUGGGGCUAAUACCGGAUAGGAGCUCCUGCUGCAUGGUGGGGGUUGGAAAGUUUCGGCGGUUGGGGAUGGACUCGCGGCUUAUCAGCUUGUUGGUGGGGUAGUGGCUUACCAAGGCUUUGACGGGUAGCCGGCCUGAGAGGGUGACCGGGCAUAGUGGGGAUGGGGAGACGCCCAGGCCCCCACGGGGGGGAGCAGGGGGGAAAUUGGGAAAAAGGGGGGGAGGCGGAAGCCAGCAACCCCGGGGGGGGAAGGGGGCCUUGGGGUUGGAAACCCGUUUCCGCUGGUGAGAAAGGGUGAGGGAGGUAAUGGGAAAAAGAACCCCGGCCAAACACCGGC
rnacentral:rRNA from 1 species